GCCUGUGGCACUGACAAUGUGCUGCGCUGCAAGCUUCUGUGGAGAAGAGUUCCAGUUUCCCCAAAACCAAUGUGGAAGAACGGGAUUUAAAGGAUGUUUAAAGGAAGUUGGCGGUGUUCUUUCGGACUGAGGAAGUGCAAGAAACAGAAGGAAGUGGAAGAAACAUUGUUUGUGUGUGUUUUUAAGAAGAAGAAAAAUGAAGUACAGAUUUAAAGUGAACACAAAUCACCUGCUUCUUCUUUUAUCCUUAUUCACUGCUGAAUAAUAAUGAGGCCAUAACUUGAAUAGAAACAAGAAAGUCAUGGGGAACAAACAAUGGAACCUAAAGGAACGACUGGGAUCUAAGUGCAAGCAGUUGAUAUGAGUGGCAUGAACAGGAAUGAGUCCGCUACGUUGUGGAGUGGAGCUACCUGAUAUCAUUUG